UUCGCAGACAAAGUCCGAACAAAACUUAAGGAUAGAUUUGAGGGCCAGAUUCCUUACAACAUCCUUACUUAUGGAGACUUAGUAAGUUUCAUUACCACUACGGGGAUAGAACUCUGUACAGACCUUAAGCUUAAACAACAGUUGAAGCAGAAUCACAAAUACGGUCUGACAACCUUCUGCCAAGAUUAUGGUUUUACUGACCUCCAUGACGGAAAGAGGCAUAAAAGAAUGCCCCCGAANNNNNN
rnacentral:lncRNA from 1 species